CCCCCUACUUCCGGCGCCUGUUGGCUUUGGGCAAGUGCAGUAAGGCGCGUCCGCUCUGUCUCUCUCGCUCUCUAUGGUUUGCGCCGGUGCGACAGGCAAAGAGAAGGGUCUCUGUCUGCGGCCAGUAGGGCUUUGGCUCCGCCCCCUUUUCCCCUUCUCUCUGCCUGUCGUCGCGCGCUGCCGGUCGGAGGAGUAGCGUCUACGGAGGCCGAGGAGGCUCACCUGGCCUGAAAGGGCGAGUGGGAGGCCCGCAUACAUCCCCUCUCAGUCAGUGGUUUCCCUGGGGGCUGCCAAGCAGGUCGUUCCAGAGCCUAGGAGCGGCAGAUGAAUACUGGCUAUACUUUUUCCUUUGACUGCCCUCCUUGUAUGUCCAGAGUUUGUGUCAGAUCAUGGUUAUGAAGGCUUCAGUAGAAGACGAUGAUUCAGGAUGGAGCUCAACAUACCAGAGAAGAUGGAGAAGAGUAACACAAGCUGGGUAAGAUUACCCA